rnacentral:rRNA from 1 species
UACGUAGGGCGCAAGCGUUGUCCGGAAUUAUUGGGCGUAAAGAGCUCGUAGGCGGCCUGUUACGUCUGCUGUGGAAUCCCGGGGCUUAACCCCGGGCGUGCAGUGGAUACGGGCAGGCUGGAGGCAGGCAGGGGAGAACGGAAUUCCCGGUGUAGCGGUGAAAUGCGCAGAUAUCGGGAGGAACACCGGUGGCGAAGGCGGUUCUCUGGGACUGUACUGACGCUGAGGAGCGAAAGCGUGGGGAGCGAACAGG